UACGUAGGGUGCGAGCGUUGUCCGGAAUUAUUGGGCGUAAAGGGCUCGUAGGCGGUCUGUUGCGUCGGGAGUGAAAACUCAGGGCUUAACCCUGAGCCUGCUUCCGAUACGGGCAGACUAGAAGUAUGCAGGGGAGAACGGAAUUCCUGGUGUAGCGGUGAAAUGCGCAGAUAUCAGGAGGAACACCGGUGGCGAAGGCGGUUCUCUGGGCAUUACCUGACGCUGAGGAGCGAAAGUGUGGGGAGCGAACAGG
rnacentral:rRNA from 1 species